CACUUCGUCCUUCUGACUUGAGUCACUAAACUUGCAUUCCAAAUAUUUCGUCUUGGACCUACUCAACCUGAACCCCUUAGAUUCAAGGGUUUACCUCCAUACCUCCAGUCUUUCAUUUACACCCUCUCGCGUCUCAUCAAUCAGCACUAUAUCAUCCGCAAAUAACAUACACCAAGGCACCAUACUUUGAAUACUCUGCGUCAAUUGUAAUACCCGUAUGUUUCUAAGCUAGGAAGUGAACCAGUUUUCCUACGUACGAAACCUCCUAUCCUAUGAUUCGCAUUUUAGUGCAUGACUUACAAUGAGUAUCCUAGCGAUAAUAUAGCUUAUGAUGUGUUAA
rnacentral:lncRNA from 1 species